ACCCAAUGACCCUUAUGCAAGGGCCCAGAUGAUAAGUUUCUCCUUGUUUCCAGGAAAGAGUGUGCUUCUGCAGGACCCAAAUGUCAUUUACUGGAAGAGAGAGGUAGAGACGAAAGACUGCACUUCCUCCCCUUCUGAUAGAUACAACCUCAGGCAAGUGCUGUAACCUCUUCCCCCUCAUGUCAGAAAUGGGUAGGACUGGAUGACCUCGAAAAAUCUUCUAGCUCCAAAAAUCUAAUCCUCUAUUUUGCCAGUGGGUUAGCUUCUAAGACUUAUUUCUUCCUAAGGGCAUUUUAAUUUUCAUACAAAAUACAAUGGCAAAGAAAUCUCUCUCUUAUAUACAAGAGAGCAGACUUGCAUGAUGAAAUUACAGGCUUUGAAGGUGAUAUUUGGGGGCAGGACAUUCUGUAGGCAAUAUAUUCCAUCUACUCAUAAGGCAGCUCUCCCCAUCAUGACCACUAUUUUCAUAUUUGUGAAAAGAAGCCAAGAAUGGAAUCUGAACUAUUUGUGAUGCCCUGUAUUUGAAGAGAUCUUCAUUUAUGUUUGGCUGUUGAUGCAUGAAUAUGCUUACAGAGCUUAGCAUUAUUAUUAUUAGCACGGGGGAUUAAAUAUGUUAUUUAGUAUUAGAGGUAUUAGUCUCGAGCAUUAGGGCAGAUUAGCUUUUGAUGUAUUAGUUCUUUGGGGUUACAAUUAAGGCCUGGAUUCGUGAUUGUUAUAUCCAUUUGUCUCUUCUCCAUUCAGUUCACCAACAUUGACAGACAGCCCAGGACUAAUUAAUUAAUGACAAUUCUUUAUUUUCAACUGUGUAUAAGAAUAGGUUGUUCACAUCUUCUGAUUAUUGUAGACUUUCAAGGUGACAAUUUUGACUGGGACAGCCUUUUUGUAUUAUGGCAUUCUUAGCCUAGCUUUCUGAGAACCUCUGUGCUGAAUGUGUGGUCUCAAGCCUUUAAAAAUCUCUUAAGGAAUCUUGUCCAUACUUUACCACCCCCGCCACCCCCACUGUCUUUCACCUGCUUUCUAGAAGCAAAAUCUUUGGUCUGUUGCUUUGAUCCAAGCUCUGGUACACCAGACACCCAUCACUGUCUCACAAGAGUCAGGCAUCCAUCACAGAGAACAGAUGAGUAGGUCAGUCAAAUAUAAACAUUCCUUCUACUGUGAUUAAUUAAUAAUGUCUUUUAGGCCUUCUAUCAAUAUGGUACUUACAUCUGGGUUUAGAAGGGCACUCCUAAAUAUUUACUAAUGUGUAAUAGUACUUUUAAGUGGAGUUGAUAAACUCUGCUUCAUGGUUUAAGCCUUCUAGCAGGCAAGAAGUGGAAAUCUUUGUGAUUGGGUGCAUCUGUUUCUAAAACCUGAGUAUGUCACACCAUCAUCUUUCCAGAGCCUUCCUAAAAUAAGGAGACACAACAUCCUUCUAAUAACUCUAUAGGUAUGCUUUUCCCCCAGUCUGGUCUGAUUCAGAGACUGAUAGCUAAGGUUUCCUACCCCUCAACUGUGGGACCGGCCCAGGUAAGACGUGAGCCCCCACGUACAGACUCUCUUCUCACCGGAGCAAUUGCCUUCAUGCUACUGAAGGUGCUCACUGCUAACUCUGUGCACAGCACAUUCUCAACUGCUUUCCUCCUCACUCUGAAUAUUGCUGUACAUGGUUUGCCAUUAAUUCAUGGGUGAAAGCAUGUGCCCACCCAGUCCUGCAGCGUGGAGACAUGCACAGUCAGUGCUGAAAUCAGACUCUGGUAUCUCUCUUGCACCUCUCAAACCCUGUCAGUGGAAAGUGUCAAUGCCUUCCUACCGCUUGCAACCCCCUUCCCAACCAAAGCAUACUCCUCUGGCACAUCAGUACCCCAUUGAUGAAGAGGACAUCUGCUGGUUCCAUCUUCCACAGAUGAGUGGCUUGGUACAAAUUCGUCAAAGCAAGCAGUGGCCCAGUAGAAAUAGCCAGUGUGUGCGUUACCCCCUAGGUUAUCCCAUCACUCUGGAUUUCUGCCCUAGAAGCCUCCAGGGGAACUUUGAAGAAAGAAAUGCUGGAGGCUGCUUGUCUACCAAGGAUUUCAGGUUGUUGUGGAUUGAGAUAGGGUACAAUGAUUAAAUAUGAUGCUGAAUUCUUCUGUAUGCAACAAUAAACAUCGAAGGCUCUUGGGUGCAUAGACACAACCAUCCUUUCUGUCUCCCAGUUCGUUUUGUACCAACUGAGAUAUAGCCCACGUAGGGAAUGGAGUACUUAGUAUUUAUGUGGUGACUUUCGCCUGAAGAAAUUGGAACCUGUGGAGAGUAGAGAGGAAGUGGUUCUCCAAGAGAUCUGCUGUGAAAUGCUUCUCGGACCACCUGGGGGAGGCACUCUGGGGAGAAUGAUGCCUCAUUCUGUGUGGCGUACAUCCAACCUGCUUUUUAGGCUGGGAAAGUGGUAAUCAGAACAGAGAAAACCAAUGCCACGUCUGCGUCCUUCCCAGUUUCCUCAAAAGGCGAUCACAGACUAGAAGAUGCCGAGUAUGGGAAACUCUUCUGAUGCCUGCAGCAGUGUUGGCAAAGAGGCGCACACCCCCCCCCCCCACCCCAAGCCCGCCUCAGUACACAUUUACCCAACGCAGAGGCUGCAGCUCCCCUGUGAGCAGGGACCUUCACAUCACUCCUCUGAUAGCAAGGAGUCCUGGCUGUAAGACUUGUGUUCUCCUGUCUGGGAAGAGGGGGAUGGGUAGCCAGGUAACUCUGGGACCCGGAGUUCUGCCUCACUCCAUUCUUCAUGUAACAACCCCCGCCACACACACCCCAGUCAAGCCAGACAUGCAUUCGCUUUUGAAAACACACUAAUCAACCAGCCUCCCCCACGGCCUAUCCACCAUCCAUGGAUGUCCAUGUGUCACACACAGAGCAAUUAAAAAAAAAAAUCCAGGCAGCCCAGGGAACCAUAAUCUUCUUUUGUUUUCUCUUUUCCCCUAAAAAAGGCCUUUUAAGAAAAUAUAUUAAACCAGGUAAACUUUUACUCAUACGUUCAUGUGGCUGGAGCAGAUUGACAAAGAAAACAAUCACAAAAUAAAUAUUUUUGUUUUGUUUUUAAAAAAGAACAUUUCCCUAUACAUUGUCUCUUUCUAACUUGACAGAGCUGCUUUCUUGGACAGGACGGGUGCCAUUGGAAGAGGAGUUCCGGCUGGACCACGAGGGGAAUGUGGAACAAAUCCACGCCCUGAGGUCCCAUCGGCUGGGUGCGGAAAGUCUCAAGGGAGAACCCUGUUGGCACUAAGGGUUUGGCAGCUUAGAAUUGAAAGCCCUCAGGGAGGACUGGAUCCUGCCCACCUCGUUGUUGGCCAGCUUGAGCCGAUGCCGGAGCAAG